AUGAGGGCCGCCGCGGCGCAGAUCGAUCCGUCCCCGUCCCCGUCCCCCGCCGCGCUGGCCAAGUCGCGGCUCAAGCGCCUGUUCGAGCGCCAGGUCCUGCGGGUCUCGCCGGCGGAGCGGCUCCCGCCCGUCUCCGCCGGCGGGGAGAAGGACAAGGAGAAGGAUGACUUGGAGCCCAGCUCGGUGUGCCUGGACGGCAUGGUCCGCAGCUUCCUGGAGGACGGCGGCGGCACCGUCGGCGAGCGGGCCCCGACCGCGCGCUGCUGCAACUGCUUCAACGGCGGCGACGCCUCGGACGACGAGGACGGGCCCGCCGCGGCCGAAGCGUCUGCCAUCUCCGACGCCGCGGAGACCAUCAAGGGCCUCGUCCACUGUGCCAGUCUCCGGGAGCGCAACCUCCUCGCGGACGUGUCCACGCUCGUGGAGCGCCACCGCGCGGCGGGGGCGCGCAAGCGCGACCUCCUCCGCCUCCUCGCGGCGUCCCUCCGCGCCAUGGGCCACGACGCCGCGCUCUGCCUCUCCCGCUGGGACAAGUCGUCCUCCCACCCCGCCGGCGAGCACGCCUACGUCGACGUCCUCCUCCCCGCCGGCUCGGAGCGCGGCGACCGCGAGCGCGUCCUCGUGGACGUCGACUUCAGGUCCCAGUUCGAGGUCGCACGGCCCACCAAGGCCUACCGCGCCGUGCUGCAGCGGCUCCCGUCGGCGUUCGUCGGCAAGGAGGACCGGCUGCGCCUGCUGGUGGCCGCCGCCGCAGACUCCUCGCGCGCCAGCCUCAAGAAGCGCGGCCUCCACCUCGCGCCGUGGCGGAAGCCCGAGUACAUGCGCGCCAAGUGGCUGUCCCGCUACGAGCGCGAGGCUCCUCCUCCGGCGCCGGAUGCCUCUGCCAGUGAGCUCGCCGCCAUCGGCGAGGGAGGCGGAGACGGAGCCAAAGCUUAA
rnacentral:rRNA from 1 species